rnacentral:rRNA from 1 species
UACGUAGGGUGCAAGCGUUGUCCGGAAUCAUUGGGCGUAAAGAGCUCGUAGGCGGUCUGUCGCGUCGGCUGUGAAAACCCGGAGCUCAACUCCGGGCCUGCAGUCGAUACGGGCAAACUGGAGUACUGCAGGGGAGACUGGAAUUCCUGGUGUAGCGGUGAAAUGCGCAGAUAUCAGGAGGAACACCGGUGGCGAAGGCGGGUCUCUGGGCAGUAACUGACGCUGAGGAGCGAAAGCGUGGGGAGCGAACAGG